rnacentral:rRNA from 1 species
UACGGAGGGUGCAAGCGUUAAUCGGAAUUACUGGGCGUAAAGCGCACGCAGGCGGUCAAUUAAGUCAGAUGUGAAAGCCCCGAGCUUAACUUGGGAAUUGCAUCUGAAACUGGUUGGCUAGAGUCUUGUAGAGGGGGGUAGAAUUCCAUGUGUAGCGGUGAAAUGCGUAGAGAUGUGGAGGAAUACCGGUGGCGAAGGCGGCCCCCUGGACAAAGACUGACGCUCAGGUGCGAAAGCGUGGGGAGCAAAC